rnacentral:lncRNA from 12 species
UGGGGAUGCACCUCCACUGCCCACCUGGUGCCUAAAAUCAACUUUUCUGGUCUCCACAAACCCAUAUCCCAGCUCCAACCUGGAAUCAAGUGGAUAAUUAUCUGAAGAAUUGAAAUUUUUCAUUCGAGUGUGGUGAGGAAGAGAUGAAUUAAUUUAAGAUGUAUUACUAUGUUUUCUAGAAAAAUACGGAUAUACAAUGAAAAUUAUUUGUAAUGUGUGCAUUUGUAUUUCAGUAGGGGCAGUGGCAAAGCAGUGGGGCUGAAACUGAGGCAUUGUUUUCAGGAGACAGAGGCUGGACAAGCAUAAAACAGCUUUCAGACAGCCCAACCAGUUUGUGUACAGUCUCUACUUGUGUGCUAUUGGUGAAAUAAUUAACUUUUUCCCCUCUCCCCAGCCCCCACCCGGCUCCCACUGCAUCACAUUGACUUCGGGAUGCACAAAACAGAUUGAACAAAGCGAGUCAUUAAGUUAAAAUCCCCCCAGGGUAGGAGCACAAGCAACUCAAUCCCUGAAACCUGACUGAGGCAAGAGGAAGCAAAUCAAAACAAUCACACAAAUGUUUUAUUCCAGAACAUGUGCCCAGGGAACUGUCUGCUGCUGGUUGAAGGUCUCGUGUUUUAUAUCAAGGAAAUCAGGUAAGCCUGAGUCUUGACUAAAUAAAAAGCAUGAGAAUAAAAACAACUACCUGAAAAGUGGGAGGUGGUGAUAGCUGAGACAUGUUUGUGGUGCCAGGCAACAUUUUGAGGGGGUUGACAUAGAACUGCACAACCUGUCAUUGGGAUGAUGAGGUGAGGUAAGCCUUCAUUAAAAUUGGCACUUUGGGAUAUCACACAUUUUCUUCAGCUGUUUCCUGUGCCAGUUAGGAUAGCUGAUGACUUUGUUGUUACAGUACCUGUAAGCCGUGAAACUGUUUCAG